rnacentral:rRNA from 1 species
UACAGAGGGUGCGAGCGUUGUCCGGAAUCACUGGGCGUAAAGGGCGCGUAGGUGGCGGGCCAAGUCCAUGGUGAAAGCUCGAUGCUCAACAUCGAGUCGGCCACGGAUACUGGUUCGCUCGAGCACUGUAGAGGCUAAUGGAAUUCCGGGUGUAGCGGUGGAAUGCGUAGAGAUCCGGAAGAACACCGGUGGCGAAGGCGGUUGAGCUGGGCAGUUGCUGACACUGGAGGCGCGACAGCGUGGGGAGCAAACACGG